UCUGGGAUAAAAUCUGAAUCUUGUUCUUGGAAAAACAAGGAUUCUAGAGAGUUGUUUGACUCGGUUGAUUGGGGUUCUCUCUUACAAGGAAAGAAAAACGGUUUAAAAGGAGAAAUAAGUGUUGGAGAAGAGAUACUCUCUCUAUUCUUUCUUUAUUCCUCCGCCACACUCAAGUGAAAGGACUCAUUCAACCACUUCUCCAAUAGCAUAUUGUUUCUUCUUGCAUGAUCCCACCGUGGACAAUGAUCAUUCCUACCUAUACUUGCAUCACCAAUCUAACAGGAACCAGCAGUAAGCCGCUUCGCCCUUCCUCCUCGCUGCCAUUGGUUAGGCCGAACCGGACCGCCUCCCUCAAACCACCACUUCCAAGGGUUCCAGCUUCUACGUCCGUCGGAAAAUGUUGCCUACCUGAGUUCCCAGCCACUUCUUGGAAUUGAGAGGAAAAGAGAAACAAUGCUGAACUUGAAGAAAUUAAUGGCUCUGUAACGGAUUUUGCUGGUUAGUGAUAGGUGUAAACAUCAAUUCCCAUCUUGAGCAUUUCCAAGCCAAUUUUGUCGAAACUGGCCAUGUCGAUUUGAAAAAAUUUGAGUUUUCAUCUUUGGUUGACUGGAUUGGAUAGAUAAAUCAAAUAGAUGCUGGUGAGUGGAAAAAUAUGAAGAAUCAAUGACACAAAAAUAUGGAGAAGACACUUCUUCUCAUCCUGUAAUUGAUUCUGAUCUUUGGUUAAAAGCUGCAGGUGAAAACAAGAAGAAAAGAGUGCAUGGCAUGGGACAUAGCUUGGAUCUUGGAACUAGUAGCUCUACCCAAGCUUCAUCUCCAGAGGUUGCAGGUGCCUCUACAAAUCUUACGCCUAUGACAGAAGAACGGGUCACUGCAGUUAUAAAUAAUGCAU